CGCAUAUGAAGGAGACAGACCGAUGGGACUGACACGAUCUUUGAAUGUCCUCAUGAUCUGUGCAGCAUUUGCAUUUGUUGCAGCGUUGAUAGCAGGCGUCAUACCGUAAAGCAGGCGCAUCAGACGAUUACGGCGACACAGGUUUCGAGGAUAGACCGGUCUCGCAAGAAACAGAAAGCCCGCCGAAACGGCGGGCUUUUU
rnacentral:sRNA from 2 species